rnacentral:rRNA from 1 species
GAUGAACGCUAGCGACAGGCCUAACACAUGCAAGUCGAGGGGCAGCAUAAAAGGUAGCAAUACUUUGGUGGCGACCGGCGCACGGGUGAGUAACACGUAUGCAACCUACCUGUAAGAGGGGAAUAACCCGGAGAAAUUCGGACUAAUACCGCAUAAUACUGAUUAUCUGCAUGGAUUGAUCAGUUAAACAUUUAUGGCUUACAGAUGGGCAUGCGUAUGAUUAGAUAGUUGGUAGGGGUAACGGCCUACCAAGUCAACGAUCAUUAGGGGUUCUGAGAGGAAGGUCCCCCACACUGGUACUGAGACACGGACCAGACUCCUACGGGAGGCAGCAGUGAGGAAUAUUGGUCAAUGGGGCGAGAGCCUGAACCAGCCAAGUCGCGUGAAGGAAGAAGGUUCUAUGGAUUGUAAACUUCUUUUGUAAGGGAAUAAAAAGAGUUACGUGUAACUUAUUGUAUGUACUUUACGAAUAAGGAUCGGCUAACUCCGUCGUCCAGCAGCCGCGGUAAAACGU